GGUCUCGCCUGCCCACUGACUAUAUGUUUAACGGCCGUGGUAUCUUGACCACGUGAAGGUAGCGUAAUUAUUUGUCUUUUAAAUGAAGACCUGUAUGAAUGGCAAAACGAGGGCUUAACUGUCUCCCCUCUCCAGUCAAUGAAAUUGAUCUCCCCGUGCAGAAGCGGGGAUUGACCUAUAAGACGAGAAGACCCUGUGGAGCUUUAGACCUAAAAUAAGCCCACCCAACAAGUUCAAGAAAAGAAUUAGACCCAGGCGAAAAUUAUUUAAGUGUCUUUGGUUGGGGUGACCAUGGGGUAAAAUCUAACCCCCACGAAGAUAGAGGACACAUACACAUCCCUCAACACUCAGAGCCACCUCUCCAAGUAACAGAAUCUCUGACUUUAAAAAUGAUCCGGCCAAGCCGAAUAACGAACCCAGUUACCCCAGGGAUAACAGCGCAAUCCCCUUCCAGAGCCCAUAUCGACAAGGGGGUUUACGACCUCGAUGUUGGAUCAGGACAUCCUAAUGGAGCAGCCACUAUUAAGGGUUCGUUUGUUCAACGAUUAACAGUCCUACGUGAU
rnacentral:rRNA from 1 species